rnacentral:rRNA from 1 species
UACGUAGGGCGCAAGCGUUAUCCGGAAUUAUUGGGCCUAAAGCGUCCGUAGCUGGCUUGUUAGAUGCCUGGGUAAAUCGAUGCGCUCAACGUAUCGAACUCCGGGUAGACCGGCAAGCUUGGGACCGGGAGAGGCGUGAGCUACUCGAGGGGUAGGGGUAAAAUCCUGUAAUCCUUCGGGGAGGACCAGUGGCGAAGGCGUCACGCUAGAACGGCUCCGACAGUGAGGGACGAAGCCCUGGGGCGCAAACCGG